CUUAAAAAAGGGACCGCGGGUUGAUUGCAUAAAAACCACAGGGACUCUUUUGCAAAAGCGGCGCGACGGUGAACCCGGAGACCCAAUCCGUGCUUUAUUAUUAGGGAGAGAUUAUUAGGAAGAGAUAAAUAAAUAAAUAAAUAUAUAAUAUAUAAUAUAUAUAUAUAAUAUUAUAUCUCUCUCUAUAUAUAUAAUAAUAAACCAGGUAUUGCUUCUGGUCGUCCGUCGCUGCAAUUUUACAAAAAAAAGUCCCUUUGUGUUUUAGUAAUCAACCCGCGGUCCUCGUAAUAAGUAAUACCGAUUCGGGGGAGAAAAAGAAAAAAAUUAACGCAGCCGCCCGCACGACCCAAUCAACACUCCAGCGCACCACCGCCUCCUCCCACGCCAUGCCCCGCCUCACCUUGCGCCGCCGGCCCGCCCCCCAGCGUCGCACGCCGUCGGUCCCCGCCUGUCACCACGCGCCGCCAUCGCCUACCCUGCGGGUACGCCUACCCUACCAAGUGCCCCACACCCGCCGCCUACCACUGCCAGCGACACCCCUCUCCCUUCCUGAGUCGUCGUGGAUCGCAGGAGGUCAGUGGCGGAGCUAUGUACAAGUCUGGGGUGGCUGUGGCCCCCCCAACUUUGUACCAAACUGUGAAGAUUUUUUUUGAUGGAGGACUUAGAUGAGACUUUUUUUUAGCAUUUUACACCCUCAGCCAGUCAUGUUUUAGUCUUGGUCCCCCCAACACUUUCUACCUAGCUCCGCCACUGCAGUAGGUGGCCGCCGUUGUGGCCAUGGAGGGCUCGCCAGCCGCCUUCGGAGUCCCACAACCCCAAGCUUGACAGGAUUUCCAAGCGCCGUCCCAACCCUCCGUACUCACACUUCCACCUCUCGAACACCUCGCGAGCCGCCAUCUUCAGCCGUCCCCAAGCGAGUCGACAUCUCUUCCCAACCCGGCGCACAAGAUUCUCCAUGCUCAAAUCAAGAUCAAGGCUAUGAGGACGUUCUCAAAUAGAGAGAGAUCAGUCUGAGGGUGAGCCCACGGAGGGCGCUUGUGUUGAUAGAGCACGCUGGUGGAGGUCGACCACAACUCGGCUGGCGCAACAGUGAGUUAUAGGGGCAGCUAUGGGAGCCGAUGUUGGGGGAGCACGGAGGCCUUUGCAGGGAUUGCAUUGGUGUGCUGCGGGAUGAGCUGGAGUUGGCUCCUGGCGGUGUUGGUUCAGGCUGAUGUGUGCAUCACCAAACGAAGAAGUAGGCAUCCACUGAGAAGAAAUUCAUCAGUGUUCUCAAGUUGAAGUCAAAUUGACCAGCUACGUUUUAAAGUUGCUCUCGUCAAAGACAUGGUCACAUUUUACUUUUUUGAAGAAGAGAAGACAUGUCACAUCUAUAAAGGUUAUUGAAGUUUGGCAUGGCACUCUACUCCGUUGCACCUUAUGUUCUACAGCAGUAGAUUUUGUUAGAUGUCCCUCCAAUUACUGAAUGUGAAGCUAAAUGUGCACUGUUUUACUCAUAUCGUCAACCCAUGUCAACAAGGUUUAUGAGGUCCCUGAGUUUUGUGGCGGCACAGAUCCUUUCUUCCCUGCAUCACCCUCCACACCUUAACAACCACUCAUUUGAAGACAGAAAUGGCGCUCCAAGGCCCAAACCUGUUCAACCCUGGCUCAUGGCAACUAUGGUUUGCUCCGUAGCGAACCAUGGGAAUGGGUCGCGAGCGCAAGAAGCAUCAUCGAUGGUGCCAAUAACAUCCAGCAAUACACUGAUGUGUCCUUCCCAACGGUGGUUCACUUCUUUUCCGAGCCUCAUAUAUACUGCAUUACUGCGUAUGUAGGUGGUGACAGUAUGACAACGACAACAGGGGAAAUAGGUUUUAUUAGAUUAUCUAUCACAAAAGUGUAUUCAGUGGAGCAAGGCAUGCAGAUUUAACUAAUCGGUAAAUUAAACCUUGAAUCUGAAUGAAGGGCUCCUUGAUUUAUUUGUCCACAAGUAGUCCAAUGAUUCAUUGCUUUAGACUUCAGUGUUUUUUGAUUAUUACGGGCAACAACCCUGCUUUUGAGCACGCCCAAACAAGUUGAAUCAGGAUCUCUUCUUUUGGUUGUUCAAGUUUGUGGUAAAUUAUAAUGAACGGUUGUAUUUCCAGUGGCACCUAAAUAUAUUGGUUGGUCUGCACCGUACUCUACUCGUAUUGAUUGAUGAUCACAAGUCACAACCCAAUCUUAAAUAUAUUUGAUUUGUUUCGUUUAGUGUUGGAUGGUGCAAAUUAAAAGAAAUUGUACUGCCAUUCAUCAAUUUACUACUCAGUCAGGCCUGAAUGCAUGACUUCUGUCUGUUAGAGAAUCUGCGCCUGAAUGCGUCGUCGCCUGGACUUUUGGAUCUUAUCCAAUUGUCUGGUCAUCAUUCCGUUAGCUGUUUGACUGGAGCACAUUCUCUCUCGAGAGGAGGCGAUGAAUCUAACUGAACCUUCUUAGCUUAGAAACAAAAGUCGUUCUCUCGAUGAACCGAGAAUUAUUGCGGUUAAUUUGUCAGCCAUUGUCUUCCUUCUGUACUUCAAUUCUUAGUUUGUGUUGAGUUGGGGGCUUUUUACAGUUGAGGACACUCAUCUUGCUAAUUAAAUUGUGUGGAAAAUCUUACAUGGGCAGUUUAAUUGUGUGAUUGCUGAGUGGUCUAGUGAGUAGUGCUUCUAUAAGCAAGGGAAUGAUAGAAUGAUGCACGAUUCUGCAGGUUAUACGAGCCGCUGACAAAGACACACCUCUAUUCUGAAUUUUUACAUGCGAAGAUGGACCAUCAGCUACGGAAUAUGUUGGCUAACCUCUCACAGGUUGCUAACAAUUUUUUUCUUAUUUUCAUCUUGGUAAUUGACAUUGGUGGUAUUGUCUUUUAGUUCAACAGAAAAUUGUUCAAGUGAAAAUGCAGAGGAACAUGUGGAACAAAAGACAUGGUAUAAAAAGGAACGGAAGGACUAAACAGUACAAUGAUGCAGGUUCAGGUUUCAUAUAUUGUCUUCGCUGGCUCAUGAAUAUGCUAACAUGAAUCUCAGGCAGUCUGAAAUUAGUUGUUUUUUGGAUUAUCAAGUGAGAGAAAGAUGGCCCUUCAGUUGCUUUAGCAAUAUAUGUUUAGGGUUUAGUGAGAUUUUCUUCAUGUAAGGCGCGGUUCUCCGGGAUAGAUUAAAUACCAGUCACAUUCAA